CGAAGCCCCAGUGAACGGCGGCCGUAACUAUAACGGUCCUAAGGUAGCGAAAUUCCUUGUCAGGUAAGUUCUGACCCGCAUGAAAGGCGUAAUGAUUUGGGCACUGUCUCAACAGCCCGCCCGGCGAAAUUGUAGUACCGGUGAAGAUGCCGGUUACCCGCGACAAGACGGAAAGACCCCAUGGAGCUUUACUGUAGCCUAAUAUUGGGUUUCGAUGUUGCAUGCACAGGAUAGAUGGGACACUGGGAAGCAGGUGCUUUGGCGCUUGUGGAGUGGCCGUUGGGAUACCAUCCUUGCGAUAUUGGAAUUCUAACCUGCGCCUUUGAAUCAAGGCGGGGGACAUUGUUAGGUGGGCAGUUUGACUGGGGCGGUCGCCUCCUAAAGAGUAACGGAGGCGUUCAAAGGUUCGCUCAGCUUGAACGGAAAUCAAGCAAAAGAGUGCAAACGCAGAAGCGAGCCUAACUGCGAGACUGACGGGUCGAGCAGUAACGAAAGUUGGAGUUAGUGAUCCGGUGGUAUGUGAGUGGAAAUGCCAUCGCUCAACGGAUAAAAGUUACCCUGGGGAUAACAGGCUGAUCUCCCCCAAGAGUCCACAUCGACGGGGAGGUUUGGCACCUCGAUGUCGGCUCAUCGCAUCCUGGGGCUGUAUUCGGUCCCAAGGGUUUGGCUGUUCGCCAAUUAAAGCGGUACGCGAGCUGGGUUCAGAACGUCGUGAGACAGUUCGGUCCCUAUCUGUCGUGGGCGCAGGAUAUUUGAUGGGAGCUGUUCCUAGUACGAGAGGACCGGAGCGGACGUACCUCUGGCGCACCAGUUGUUCUGCCAAGAGCAUAGCUGGGCAACUAUGUACGGAUCGGAUAAACGCUGAAAGCAUCUAAGCGUGAAGCCGACCCAAAGAUAAGAUAUCCCAUUGUUUCAAACAAGUAAGACCCCUUGAAGACUACAAGGUUGAUAGGCACGAUGUGUAAGUGGAGCGAUCCAUUCAGCAAGCGUGUACUAAUAGGUCGAGGGCUUGACCAC
rnacentral:rRNA from 1 species